rnacentral:rRNA from 1 species
AUUGAACGCUGGCGGCAGGCCUAACACAUGCAAGUCGAACGAGUGGCGGACGGGUGAGUAAUGUCUGGGAAACUGCCCGACGGAGGGGGAUAACUACUGGAAACGGUAGCUAAUACCGCAUACCAUCGGAUGUGCCCAGAUGGGAUUAGCUAGUAGGUGGGGUGACGGCUCACCUAGGCGACGAUCCCUAGCUGGUCGGAGAGGAUGACCAGCCACACUGGAACUUAGACACGGUCCAGACUCCUACGGGAGGCAGCAGUGGGGAAUAGUGCACUAUGGGCGCAAGCCUGAUGCAGCCCUGCCGCGUGUAUGAAGAAGGCCUUCGGGUUGUAAAGUACUUUCAGCGAUGAGGCGUUACUCGCAGAAGAAGCACCGGCUAACUCCGUGCCAGCAGCCGCGGUAAUAC